rnacentral:rRNA from 1 species
GUGGUAUACGAUGGUUCCGCGUCUGAUUAGCUAGUUGGUGGGGUAACGGCCCACCAAGGCAACGAUCAGUAGCCGGCCUGAGAGGGUGAACGGCCACAUUGGGACUGAGACACGGCCCAAGCUCCUACGGGAGGCAGCAGUGGGGAAUAUUGCACAAUGGGGGAAACCCUGAUGCAGCGACGCCGCGUGAGUGAAGAAGUAUUUCGGUAUGUAAAGCUCUAUCAGCAGGGAAGAAAUACUGACCAUAGGGUCAGCAGACGGUACUUGACUAAGAAGCCCCGGCUAACUACGUGCCAGCAGCCGCGGUAAUACGUAGGGGGCAAGCGUUAUCCGGAUUUACUGGGUGUAAAGGGAGCGUAGACGGCAGCGCAAGUCUGAAGUGAAAUGCCAGGGCUUAACCCUGGAACUGCUUUGGAAACUGUGCAGCUAGAGUGCAGGAGAGGUAAGUGGAAUUUCUAGUGUAGCGGUGAAAUGCGUAGAUACUAGGAGGAACACCAGUGGCGAAGGCGGCUUACUGGACUGUAACUGACGUUGAGGCUCGAAAGCGUGGGGAGCAAACAGGAUUAGAUACCCUGGUAGUCCACGCUGUAAACGAUGAUUACUAGGUGUUGGGGGACCAAGGUUCUUCG